rnacentral:rRNA from 1 species
AGUGAACGCUGGCGGUAGGCCUAACACAUGCAAGUCGAACGGCAGCACAGUAAGAGCUUGCUCUUACGGGUGGCGAGUGGCGGACGGGUGAGGAAUACAUCGGAAUCUACUUUUUCGUGGGGGAUAACGUAGGGAAACUUACGCUAAUACCGCAUACGACCUACGGGUGAAAGCAGGGGAUCUUCGGACCUUGCGCGAUUGAAUGAGCCGAUGUCGGAUUAGCUAGUUGGCGGGGUAAAGGCCCACCAAGGCGACGAUCCGUAGCUGGUCUGAGAGGAUGAUCAGCCGCACUGGAACUGAGACACGGUCCAGACUCCUACGGGAGGCAGCAGUGGGGAAUAUUGGACAAUGGGCGCAAGCCUGAUCCAGCCAUACCGCGUGGGUGAAGAAGGCCUUCGGGAUGUAAAGCCCUUUUGUUGGGAAAGAAAAGCAGCAGGUUAAUACCCCGCUGUUCUGACGGUACCCAAAGAAUAAGCACCGGCUAACUUCGUG